rnacentral:rRNA from 1 species
AUUGAACGCUGGCGGCACGCCUAACACAUGCAAGUCGAGCGGCAGCGAGACUAGUAGCAAUACUAGUUGUCGGCGAGCGGCGGACGGGUGAGUAACACGUAGGAAUCUGCCCUUAAGCGGGGGAUAACCAAGGGAAACUUUGGCUAAUACCGCAUAAUCUCGAGAGAGCAAAGCUGCCCGCAAGGGUGGCACUUGAGGAGGAGCCUGCGUCCGAUUAGCUAGUUGGUGGGGUAAUGGCCUACCAAGGCGAUGAUCGGUAACUGGUCUGAGAGGACGACCAGUCACACUGGGACUGAGACACGGCCCAGACUCCUACGGGAGGCAGCAGUGGGGAAUAUUGGACAAUGGGGGCAACCCUGAUCCAGCGAUGCCGCGCGAGUGAAGAAGGCCUUCGGGUCGUAAAGCUCUUUAGGUUGGGAAGAAGGGUAUUGGCUGAAUAAUCCAGUACUUUGACGGUACCGACAGAAUAAGCACCGGCAAACUCUGUGCCAGCAGCCGCGGUAAAAC